rnacentral:SRP_RNA from 1 species
GCCGGGUGUAGUGGUGUGCGCCUGUAAUCCCAGCUACUCGGGAGGCUGAGGCAGGAGAACUGCUUGAAUCCAGGAGGCGGAGGUUGCAGUGAGCCAAGAUCACGCCACUGCACCCCAGCCUGGGUGACAGAGUGAGACUCUGUCUCAA